GAUGAAGAACGCAGCGAAAUGCGAUACGUAAUGUGAAUUGCAGAAUUCAGUGAAUCAUCGAAUCUUUGAACGCAUAUUGCGCUCUCUGGUAUUCCGGAGAGCAUGCUUGUUUGAGUAUCAGUAAACACCUCAACUUCCAUAUCUUUUUUGAAAUGGGAGUUGGACUUGAGUGAUCCCAACGCUUUUCCUCACCGAAAAGUGGCGGGUUACUUGAAAUGCAGGUGCAGCUGGACUUUUCUCUGAGCUAUAAGCAUAUCUAUUUAGUCUGCCUAAAAACAGAUUAUUACCUUUGCUGCAGCUAACAUAAAGGAGAUUAGUUCUUGUGCUGACUGAUGCAGGAUUCACAAAGACAGGCUUCGGCCGACUUUGUAAACUCGAUCUCAAAUCAAGUAAGACUACCCGCUGAACUUAAGCAUAUCAAUAAGCGGACGA
rnacentral:misc_RNA from 1 species